rnacentral:rRNA from 1 species
CAGUCGCCGCGGUAAUACGUAGGGUGCGAGCGUUAAUCGGAGUUACUGGGCGUAAAGCGUGCGCAGGCGGUUAUAUAAGACAGAUGUGAAAUCCCCGGGCUCAACCUGGGACCUGCGUUUGUGACUGUAUAGCUAGAGUACGGUAGAGGGGGAUGGAAUUCCGCGUGUAGCAGUGAAAUGCGUAGAUAUGCGGAGGAACACCGAUGGCGAAGGCAAUCCCCUGGACCUGUACUGACGCUCAUGCACGAAAGCGUGGGGAGCAAACAGGAUUAGAGACCCGAGUAGUCCCUGUCUCUUAUAC